UGCGUAGGUGGUUGGUUAAGUUUGAGGUGAAAGCUCCGAGCUCAACUCGGAAAAUGCCUUGAAGACUAUCUGACUAGAGGAUUGGAGGGGAGAUUGGAAUUCUCGGUGUAGCAGUGAAAUGCGUAGAUAUCGAGAGGAACACCAGUGGCGAAGGCGAAUUUCUGGACAAUUCCUGACACUGAGGCACGAAAGCCAAGGGAGCAAACG
rnacentral:rRNA from 1 species